GGGCUGCUCCUAGUACGAGAGGACCGGAGUGGACGCACCCCUGGUGUUCCGGUUGUGUCGCCAGACGCAUUGCCGGGUAGCUAAGUGCGGAAGAGAUAAGUGCUGAAAGCAUCUAAGCACGAAACUUGCCAAGAGAUGAGUUCUCCCAGAUUUAAAAUCUGUAAGGGUUGUUUAAGACUAAGACGUAGAUAGGUCUGGUGUGUAAGCGGUGCGAGCCGUUGAGCUAACAGAUACUAAUUGCCCGAGAGGCUUAACUAUACAACGCUCAAGGGUUUUG
rnacentral:rRNA from 1 species